UCUUCACACUACUACAAAAAUGGCCAAAGAGACUACCUAUAGGAGACCGGUUGAGGUUACUAACCCAUUUCUUAAAUAUAGGAAACCAUUUAUUAUCUAAAACCAGUCUCUUAAGUUUAAGUAUUUGACUAAUAAAAAAUGUUGUUGUGGAAUAAGAGACUGUUUCCAUGUACAACCGGUUUCCUUGAUAUAUUUUAUUUUUUUUAUUCAAUUUUUUUUUAACAUAAUACACUAUUAUACGUAUGUAUUCUUAUUGUGAAGAUUUAGGAGACUACUUCUAACUUCAACCGGUUUCCUAAAAAAUAAUAAUUUUAAAACUUAAUAUCUUUUUAAUUAAUACUAAUGCAGUAUAAGUUUUAUAUAAAACUAUUUACUUUUAAAAUUAUGCAACAAAUACAAUAGAAAAAAAACUACCUCUCCUAAUAUUACUCUAGAUCGUGAUUAAUACCUGUAAGGCUGUAACCUGUCAAAAAAAAAAAAAACCGAGCCAUUGCUUCUUGCGCCAUAGCAACUUACGCCAUAGCUUGAACAAUCUCAUAGCUUCAGUCGACUCGCACACCAUUCCUACAACCACCACUCCCCAUUAUCCAGAAAUUCUCCCCCAUAAUCCAAAUUCUUCCAUCAAAAUUUCACCUUUGCUUUCGUAAAAUUCAUAAUCAAGGCUCUCACAUUGUUCAAGUUGUGAUUCUCGUCAAUUAUUUUCGUCAAUUCUUCUGGAAUGUGUGAUUCUUUUCGCUAAUUUGUGAUUCAUUUGGGAAGAAAAGACAUUUUCGAAAAAGUAUAAAAUUGGUGCACUUGUAAAGGUUGAAUUUAUAAGUUCUUUGUUCGUUGAUGAAGGAGAGUUUCUGAAAAAGAAAAUUAUCUGUGCUACAUACUCCAUUGAUUCAACUGCAAUUACACAAAGGUCGGGGAUUUAAACUGAAUUGCGCUGUGCUACAUACUCCAUUGAUUCAACUGCAAUUACACAAAGGUCGGUGCAAUCCCGGGAAUUCAAACUGAACUGAAUACUCGAUUGAUUCAAUCUGCAAUUACUCAAAGGUUACUGGGUUAUAACACCAAGAAAGAAAGGAAAGAAGCAGCAAGUAUCCCAAGGAUUCGUGUGCGUGAACUGUCUGAAUUUAUGUCCUCGUCAAGCUCUGGGCUCCAAAGAUUGUGGCUAUUAUGUUUGUCGUUACAUGAUUGAAACUAUCGCAAGUAGACGACAAUUAAUUCCUGAUAAGUACUUUCCAGGGAUUCCUAGCACUUAUUCCCAAGAGAUGAUUGACGAGUUAAGAGAUAUAUGGGUGGAUUAUUUAAACAAUCAAAUACAAGACGAUGGAGAUUGAAGACGACGGUCAAGUUUGAAUUGUACAUAUUAUUUAAUUAUUUUAGAAUUUUAGUUGUAGUAGCUAGCAUUAGAUUAUAGAAAUUUUAUUUUAAGACAUCAUUAGAAGAAAUUGAUGUUUUGAAUAAAAUUGAUUUUGUAUAUAAAUUAAAUGUAGCAAAUAUUUUUUUCACGUGAUGAAUAAAGCAAGCAAGUCGUUAUAUUGAAUAAUAUUGUUGUGGCUAUUUAUAAAUUGUUAUACAAACCUGUCAAAAAAAAUUUAAAAAAAAUAAAUUGUUUUAAUAGAAAAAAAAGAGUAUAUACGAAGAGCCGCAAAUACAUGGUAAUGUAUGUAUUGUAACAUUUUACUAAACCU